AUGGAGCAGCGUACCCGUCACCCGCCUCCAAUUCUCCACUCAGGCAAUUUCUCCUCCCGCCCCAAAUCGGAGCCUACCCCGGUCUCAGGAGGACAGGUAGCCGUUCAAACGUUCUCUGUAGCUUCCCUUUUCUUCAAUGGAUUCACGUCUAAGUUCCACUUUCCCUCCUCUCUGCCGCUCAGGCGUCCCAUACUUCUUUCCUCCCCCCCCCCCUUUGCUCAUCUGCGGAGCAGCCUCCCUUCCCGCUUGCCCACUCUGUAGCAAGGCUUCCCUUACCCGCUUCAAAUUUUUAAAAUGGAUUUUUCACAAAGGCAGCGGGAGCUUCCUUACACUAGCCUGGUCCACACGGGACGUUGAACAGGAGUCCAAGCUGCCUCGGUUAUUUAUUUACUUUUUGCAUUUAUGUCCCACAUAUUGGUCCCCAAGGAGAUCAAGGUGACCUGCAUGGUUCUCCCCCUCCUCAUUUAAGCCCAGCAACAACCUAGUGAGGUAGGUUAGACUGAGAGGCAGGGACUGGCCCCCAGGGUCUCCCAGCAGGAGCUUCACUGCUGAGUGGGGCUUCAAACCUGGUCUUCCCUGUUUCCUGGUCCGAGAGACUCUAACCCAGGACAGCCCAACUUUUCAUACCAAGUGGGCCAUAAAAGUACUUCAACACAGAACCCAUGGUUGCACACUGCCCUGUUGUGCAGGGGGUGGUGGUGAAGGAUGCCAAAAUUUGAUGCCCCCCCCCAGUGUGCUGCCUUGUAACACCAUACAAUACUUGUUUUGUUGUUGUUGUUAAAAAAUCAACUAAUUAUCUACUCCUGUACAAGAUAAGUGUGUGCACUCAUGUACAUAGAUGAUACUCUUGCUGAAUACCGUAUAUUAAGAACCAUAGGAGUGUGCAGCUCCGUCAGUUUGUGUACACAGAUUGUGCACUCAUCUGGAUCAGAUGUCCUUACUGGCAGAGGCUUUCUCUUCUCUCUACCUGGAGAUGCCUUUGGGGGUUGAACCUGAGACCUUCUGCAUUCAAGGCAGAUGCUCUGCCACGGAGCUACAGCUCUUCUUCUAAGAACAAAACAAGAUCCAGAAGUUUGCUUCACAGUCAGCUGAGAGAAAGGGUGACUUCAAAGAGGAAAAUCUAGAGUUGCCCCAUCACUUUUCCUGCACCCACACAGUUGCUGUGCAAUGCAGAUCUUCAUUCACCCUGAACUAACAACUCUUCAAGGUGUCUUGCAAUGUAUCUGGGAAAACCAAAGUCACCAUCACGACAUCAGCUGGAGCAAUAAAGCCAAGACAGAUGAAAGGCGACAUUGGAAGACUUUUAACAAACAGGAAAAUUGGUUAAAGCCUUAACAGAGAAAGACGCUGAAAAAUGGUUAGAUGUAAUCACAUGAUAUUAUGGUGAGGGCUGAUCUGAAGAGCCAAAUGACUUUGAUUGGUUCAGGAUGGUGACACUGGGUUGCAACAGCUAAGAUUGCUGUGAUCCUUUGAGUAGUGAAUAGAAAUGACCAAUCUGGAAGUGUAAAAAAAAGAAAACCAAUGGCUUUGGAUGUGGUUCUUUGCAGCCUCCUCUUUACUUUUGGGGCUGUCCCUGUUUGCAUUUGUAUUUCAAUAAAGGCCUACCUUCUCAGGGUAGGGAUACUGGAGUGGCUUGCCAGUUCCUUCUCCAGGUGGAUCACGUUUAGUCAAAACUCUCCACUAUGACCUGUCCAUCUUGGGUGGCCCUGCAUGGCAUAGCUCAUAGCUUCUCUGAGUUAUUCAAGCCCCUUCGCCACAACAAGGCAUUGAUCCAUGAAGGGGAAACCACAGAGCCUAGGGCUUGCCAAUCAGAAGGUAAGUAGUUUGAAUCCCUGUGAUGGGGUGAGUUCCUGUUGCUCGGUCCCUGCUCCUCCCAACCUAGCAGUUUGAAAGCACAUCAAAGUGCAAGUAGAUAAAUAGGUAGGAAGGUAAACGGCAUUUCCAUGCACUGCUCUGGUUUGCCAGAAAUGGCUUAGUCAUAGCUGGCCCUGGCCACAUGACCCGGAAGCUGUACGCCGGCUCCCUUGGCCAAUAAAGCGAGAUGAGCACCACAACCCCAGAGCUUCUCCACCCCCAUUGUUCUGCUCGGACACUGAGGUACAGCGCCGAGGGCCUUCUGGCGGUUCCCUCGUUGCGAGAAGCCAUGUUACAGGGAAGCAGGCAGAGGGCCUCCUCAGUAGUGGCACCCGCCCUGUGGAACACCCUC